AUGCAUCUAAAGGUUGCAGGACGGUAGCGCUCGAGGACUGGACUUCAGCACCCUUGGUUUAGUAUUUUUGUUAGCAGCUAAAGCUAGCCAAGCAAGUGUAGCACAGUGUCGGGUGGUUAACCGAACAUUAGAACUAUAAGAAAAAUCUGAAGGCCAUUUGAUUUCACAUUAUUUAACUGCAGAGUCGUUUUCUUGAAGUUUUUGGCUUUAGAUGGCAUAAUGAGAAUGGCUGUGCUGGACCGGAAAUGAAGAAAAAAUGCCAUGUUGGUGACUGAAGCCUGUUAUGAUCAUUUCUACACAUCACAUUUCUUCAGAAAGUACUUUAAAUGCUGUUCACAAUGUUUCUGCUCUCCGGGCAAAACCAGGUGGUCAGAGUGUUAUGAAUGAAUAUGAUAGUGGCACACACAUGCCACAAGAAGAAUCCAAAACAUUUCAUGUCAAACUGUGAAUCAUGUUGUCAGAUAUGUGCAGCAUUUUGUCAAAGAUGAGAGCCAGUGUUGAAGGGUUCCUCAUUGGUGUGGAACCAGGACAGCCCUUUCUCCUGCAUGUUGGUGAAAACAAGAGCAGCACCAAAGACACUUCACAUCAGUGAUCACACGAUCAUCCCUGACCAUCCAUGGCACACAAAACCAUCCAUGGCCGCUUUUGAUGAACUUUCAAAGCUCACUUCACCUGCAGUGUUCUGUGGCGUAUGAAAACCUACAGUUUUCAACAUUGACACGACACUUUAGGUGCUUGGUUUUAUUUUGCCUGGCAGAGUGUACAGUCUUUAUUAUGAUCAUUUAAAUGUUCUUUGUUUUAGAAGAAAAUUUCUAAAACAAAAUGUUUUAGAAUUAUUUCUUAAUAUUGGACUUGUAAUAAGCCAAGCUCAAUUAAGGACUUGGCUUAUUACAGUCACUAUGGCAAGCAGUUUUCUGAAAUGUGUGGAAAGAAAACAUCAGAUUGCUGAACUUUAUGACCUUUGUUGUAUAUUGCUGUCGGUGCUGUUUGAUGAUCUUGUUUUGAAAUACAAGUAGAUUUAAACUGCAACUUAUAGUGGGGUUUUUGUUGAUUCAAGUGGCAUCUAAUGUUUUUUAAUCAAUCCAUCAAUCAAAUUUUAUUUGUAUAGCACAUUUCAGCAGCAAGGCAUUUCAAAGUGCUUUACAUCAAAUCAAACA